GGUGAUAACCGUGAUAAGACUUAAGAGUUAGGCCAAAAGCCGUGGAGUCUGUAGUCUGUACUCUGUAGUACAUCAUUUAUAUUUUUUGUCAUUGGAUUCUUUCAUCUUUGACAUUUGUAAUAAACUUAUGUUAUUCUUCAGCAGUUUAGCAUUCUAGUCUAUGAUAAAUGAUUGGAUUUGGACCUCUUAUAUAUAUUAAAUAAAAAUACAAACAUUUAUAGUUUUAUACAUACAAUUUAUAACCAGUGCCAGCUGUAGUGUUAAAUAUCCUUAAAUCACUACAUAUUUCGGCAUGACGACUUUGAAGCUACUACAAUCAUUAGUGUCAAAAAAUGAAUUUUUUACCAAAACAUUACUUAAACGGGAGUAUUACCGUCUUAUCAAUCGAUCACAUCUUAAAAAUUACUCGCUUCAACAUCAAAUGAAAUUCAACCCUUAUGGCAACUUCAACAUACAUAAGUCUUAUAUUAUGUCUAAACAAUUUUCUGUGUCUAAUAAUCUGACUGAAAUAGAUUUUGAACAAGCGUGCAAUGAAACUUUAGAAUCAUUAUGUGAAUAUUUUGAACAAAUUGUUGAAGAUAACCCACAUCUUGAAAAUCCAGAUAUUUUAUUCAACGAUGGUGUAUUAACAAUUCAAUUAGGUGAACCUUAUGGCACAUAUGUUAUUAAUCGACAGACACCAAAUAAACAAAUUUGGUUGAGUUCGCCAACAAGUGGUCCAAAACGAUAUGAUUUUAAUGGUACCAAGUGGAUUUACAAACACGAUGGUGUCAGCUUACACGAAAUAUUGACUUCUGAGUUAUCUAAACAAUUUUCAUCUAAUAAUUGUCUGAAUGGGUUAACAUUGUUGGCAAUUCAUGAAAAGUGAUCGUUGAUCCUGAAGAAGUUAUUGAUAUGAAAUCUCAAAAAUCAAGCAAAGUGUAUACACUUCAAUUAAAAAAUGACAAAUUUUAAACAUUAAAGAAAAAAUAAUAUUUAUUGAUGUAUAACCUAAGGUAAAAGUGCAAAGCGUCAUAGGCAAGAACAUAAUAUUAUAAAUAUCAUAUACUCAUACCAUUGAUCAAUUAUACAAUAUUUAAUCAAUGCCUAUAUCAUAAGAAGUAUUAUGUACAAGCUACAAGUUAGUUGUAAUCAAUGAGUGGUGACACCGAACAUUUCAACAUAACUACCUAUCAACUAUGUAUCUUCAAAUGAAGAGUUUAUUAUUGAUUAAGCCACACAAUAAAGAAUAGAGAUCCCAGGAGGGAUAAGGGCUGGCCCAUCGUUAGAUAUUUUCCAAAUCAACGCAUGGCUUGCUUUUGCCUUAGCGACGGGCCUGGCAAUCCGGCUUCAGCCCACCCUCCAUUAAUAGUCGUUUCAAUAUAUAAAAAACUACAAGAUAUUCAGAUUGAAACUUAAAAAUCAUAUUACCUUAUGAUAAUAUGAUGGUAUUAUAGUAUAGGUACUAACGAUAAACAUACUAUAAAGUAUGAAUUAAUAUGCAUUUUGAGGUAUAAAGUGAUAACUGAUAAUUUACUUACUAUUUGCAAUCAUAAACAAGUAAUAUGUCUUGUUGAUUGCAAAUUUUGUGAAAUUAUAAGAAUUUAAUGUAAAAUCAUCUUUCGUGUACCUAUAGUGAUUUUUUAAAGAAAAUCACUCGUUUUUCAAAAUUCACUCGGUUUGAUGACUAAAAAAACAAUAUUUUUAAUUUCAUGUUUUGAAGAAGACAUUUCAAGAAUACUUCAAAUAUCUAUAUACAAUAAAAUUAGAUUUUGAGAGUUUGAAUUUUAUAUUUUACAUUUUUUAUCAAUUUUGAAUCUUAAGAUUAUUUUCUAUGGCAUUUUAUGGUUUUAGGGACAUUUUGCACUAAACUCCUGUUUAUUAAAAAUUGUAUUUAAAAAUGCUUGCUUAAUUUGUGAAUUCCAUUAGUAACGAUUUUAUUUGAUCAAAUAUUAGUAAUCGUAAUAUUACGGCUCAAUAACCUUCGAUUGAAGCUAAUCAUUAAUCAAUAAUAAAAAAUUAGUAAUUCGUACCACAUAAAAAUCAAGAUUAAAACAUUAUAAUAUUGUAUGUACGUUUAUUAUCAAAUACCGUUUAUAUUAUAUUAUAUUAUUAUGCUAUAAUUAUUUUAAUUAUAGUUGGUAUUAUAGGUAAUCUGUUUUAGAAUGUAUUUAACUUAAACUAAAACAAUUUAAAAUAGGUUUGGCAUCAUAUCUUAUUAUUCUUAUUUUUGUUUACUCUUUAUUCUAAUUCUAUAAUUUGUUAUAGACAUAAAAACCUAUUAAUUUUAAUGUACUGUAGUUCCUGUAGGAACUUGCUAUAUUAUUGUGAAUAAUUACCCAGAUUUUUUUAUCUAACACUGGGUAGGUAGGUACUUCAUACCUAUAUGUCUAUAUAAAUGUAUAUUCGAGCCAUCUAAAUUGUAAAUAGGAUACUAAAUACAUUUAUAGUAAU